GGUAGGGUUUAGGGGUGGGGUCGGGUCGGGUAAAGGGGAUCAUUUUCAUUGCAUGAUAUAUAAACACCCACCAGUUUGAAAACACCCACAAAUACAGAAACGCCCACUUUUGUUCCGCAGAGACCUCAUACUCGCACUGCGCAACCAUUUCCACAACUGAAUGACAGCCAAGUUGUAUACAAUGUAUGGACAGAAAAGAUAGCAUCAAUUUUACCGUAUCAGUUCGAGCCCGAGUCCGACGAUGAAAUGUCUGAAGUGGUCAAUCAACCAGAAACUGAUUCGCAAUCACGACUGGAGUACGACAUUUCUAUAUGUUCCCAGUUCUGCAUCAAACUCUUGGCACACAAAGAAGGAACAGAAACCUUAUCUGGAUCGUCAGAGCAUCCAGAGCAGCCUGAACAAUAACUGCACAUGGCGAACUCAGACUGGCCCCUAGUGGUGCUUUCUGCUUCCUACAUGGAUACCCUUUCCAUAAGGAUCUGGAAGAUGACAAUUCCCUCAAACAUAAACUCAAUGGAGCUUGGAAGAGCAAGGGGAGCGAGGCUGUCUAAAGAAACUCCAGGAGCCUGUCACAGGAGUUUGCAGUCGUUGGUCAGGAUGCAUCCUCGAUUGAUGUGAAUGGAUAUGUGAAUGGAUAUUCAUUAGAUGCAACCAAACACCUUGGUUUUCAAACUCUUUUGGCUUCUGUGUGGUGAGCUUUUAAACCCAAUGUCUUAUGCUUCACACUUCCAUGCAUACAUGAAUGGAAUAUAAUUUAACCAGGGCAAAAGAUGGACUUUCGGACCCUUGAAACAAGUCUAUGAUAAAUUGUGAUUCACAAGAAUGUUUAAAAUGUACAGUUAAAAUGAAAUGUGUAGUACUGUUUAAUGUUUUAAAGAGUUACAGGUAAUGUGUGUACUGUUUUUGGAAAUGUGAAAUUGAUCAAUAUGUAAAUGCAUCCUGCAAUAUUGAUGACGCAUUGUGAUACAAUGUUUGAAAUGUUUUUUCUUUGAAAUAUGUGCAUGAAAUUGUGAGAUUGUAAUAUUUUUAAUGUUAUUUAAUAAAUGUGGUA